UACCCCGUGGUGUAAUGGUAACACAGGAGAUUUUGGAUCUCUCGUUCAAGGUUCGAAUCCUUGCGGGGUAACCA
rnacentral:tRNA from 2 species